ensembl:lncRNA
AUGCUGUGGCUACUACCCCAGCACCUAAUCCACACAACCAGACAACAUCUGCACAAACUGAAGUUACUGAUGGAGCCAGUGAAGAUGCUGUGGACCGCCAAAGUGAUGAUGUGGUUGUCACCACAACACCCAAUCCCCACAACCAGACCACAUCUGCCCAUACUGAAGCUGGUGGUGGAGCAAGUGAAGAUGCUGUGGCUACUACCCCAGCACCCAAUCCAGACAACCAGACAACUUCUGCACAAGCUGAAGUUACUGAUGGAGCCAGUGAAGAUGCUGUGGACCGCCAAAGUGAUGAUGUGGUUGUAGCCACAACACCCGAUCACCACAACCAGACACAACAAUCAAUCCAGACACAACAAUCUGCCCAUACUUCAGCUGGUGGUGGAGCAAGUGAAGAUGCUGUGGCUACUACCCCAGCACCUAAUCCAGACAACCAGACAACUUCUGCACAAGCUGAAGUUACUGAUGGAGCCAGUGAAGAUGCUCUGGACCGCCAAAGUGAUGAUGUGGUUGUCACCACAACACCCAAUCCCACAACCAGACCACAUCUGCCCAUACUGAAA